AUUAUUAAAUUUAAGUUAUUAAAAAUAAUUAUAAAGUUAAUUGUUUUAGUAUUUUUUAAAGAAAAAAUAAAGAUUAAUUAUAGUUUAUAGUAUUGUGAAAGAAAAUUGAAAUAUUUUGAAAAAUUUUUAUAAAAAAAGAAAAUUUAAUUUAUUGUACCUUGUGUAUCAGGGUUUAUUAAAUACAAAUUAUUUAUUUUAAUUUUCUCGAUUUUAAAAGAGUUAAUAUAUUAUAAAAGUUAAUGUUAUAAAAUUAUUUUAAAUAAUAUAUUAGAAAUGAAAUGUUAUUCGUUUUUAAAGGUAUCUAGUUCUUUAAGAAAUAAAUUUAAUUUAAAAAUUUUUUAUUAUUUAAUUAAAUAUAAAAAUUAAAUAAUUAAUAAAUUUAAAUAUUUUAUGGGAUAAGCUAUAAAAUAAAUUUUUAAAAAUAUAUAAAUAAAUUAAUAAAUAUAAGCUUAAAAUUAGUUAUUGUUAGUAAAUGUGUUAUAAUUUAUUUUAUAGUUAAUAUUAUUUAUUAAGAUUUUAAUUAUUUAUUAAAGUAUUUAUUUUAAUUUUUAAAAUAAAUUAAUAAUGAUAAAAUUAGUAUAUUAUGUUGUAUAUUUAUUUUUUUUUGAUAAGUUUUUAUAAAGAACUCGGCAAAAUUAAUGUUCGCUUGUUUAACAAAAACAUGUCUUUUUGAAUUAUUUAAAAAGUCUAAUCUGCCCACUGAUUUUUUAAAUGGCCGCAGUAUAUUGACUGUGCAAAGGUAGCAUAAUAAUUAGUCUUUUAAUUGAAGGCUGGAAUGAAUGAUUGGACGAGAUAUUAACUGUUUCAUAAAAAUUUUUAAUAAAAUUUUAUUUUUUAGUAAAAAAGCUAAAAUUUAUUUAAAAGACGAGAAGACCCUAUAAAUCUUUAUAUUUUAUUUGUUAUAAUUUUUAGGAUUUUUUUUAUAUUUUAAUAAAGAAAAAUAUUUAAUUGGGGUGAUAUUAAAAUUUAAUAAACUUUUAAUAAUUAAAAUCAUUAAUUUAUGAUUAAUUGAUCUGUUAAUAACGAUUUUUAAAAAAAGUUACUUUAGGGAUAACAGCGUAAUUUUUUUGGAGAGUUCAUAUCGAUAAAAAAGAUUGCGACCUCGAUGUUGGAUUAAGAUAUAAAUUUAGGUGUAGCUGUUUAAAUUUUAAGUCUGUUCGACUUUUAAAUUCUUACAUGAUCUGAGUUCAAACCGGUGUAAGCCAGGUUGGUUUCUAUCUUUAAACAUUUUAAAUAUUUCAGUACGAAAGGACCUAAUAUUUGGUAAAUAAAUACUUAAAAAUUGAAUAUAAUUAAUAAUAUAAA
rnacentral:rRNA from 1 species